CGUUUGAUCCAACGUUGGCACAAGGAGUAAGGCGCUGGCCCACUACUAGGGUGUUUGAUCCCGGUGUUGGUUGAUAAAAUUCCUUGGGAUUUUUCACUAUGGUGGGGACACCCUCAUAGCGUAUGUCCGUCUUCAAAAGCCCAGUUGGCACUGACAGAUCGGAUUUUGAUGUUUUUGUCUAAAUCAAAGAUAUGGUGGCAGUUAGUGCCUAUUCUAAAUUCUCGACUUAUCGGGUUGUGAAGGCGACAAGUCGACAAAUCCCCCACAGGAUUAGUAAAGAUUUUCGCGUCGCUGAGCUGAGGUUAGUCCUAUUACAGCAUCACCACCAGUACUAGUCAAGUGCCUAACCUACAAUUUCCCGGAGGGAUGAAGUCGCUCGACAGCCGCUGGGCUAUUAAAACAUUUUUAAUGUCGAAUCUUAUUAAAAAUCUUCGACUUCGA